rnacentral:misc_RNA from 1 species
GAUGAAGAACGUAGCUAAAUGCGAUAAGUAAUGUGAAUUGCAGAAUUCAGUGAAUCAUCGAAUCUUUGAACGCACAUUGCGCCCGUCAGUAUUCUGGCGGGCAUGCCUGUUCGAGCGUCAUUACGCCCCUCAAGUCCCCUGUGGACUUGGUGUUGGGGAUCGGCGAGGCUGGUUUUCCAGCACAGCCGUCCCUUAAAUUAAUUGGCGGUCUCGCCGUGGCCCUCCUCUGCGCAGUAGUAAAACACUCGCAACAGGAGCCCGGCGCGGUCCACUGCCGUAAAACCCCCCAACUUUUUAUAGUUGACCUCGAAUCAGGUAGGACUACCCGCUGAACUUAAGCAUAUCAAUAAGCGGAGGA